UCCAAGCAGAAGCAUAAAGAAUUUGUGAUCAUCUAAUUUAUGCACGACAAUAAUCUAAAAGGGAUAAUCAACAUGCUGGAUAUUAACAUUCAUAAAAGUCUUCUGAAGCUGGAACAAUGGAUCUCAAUUGAGAAUAUUCAAGGACUGAAGGGCAAAAUGAAGAAAAGAAAGAAUACACUGGUCUCCUCCCUCUCCCCCCCCAAAUUGAAAAUACUCCAAUCAAGAGAGCCUUGUACGUGGUGAUAGCAAUAUUAUUUGAUGAAGAAUUGUGAAUGACUUAGCUAUUCUCAGUAAUACAAUAAUCCAAGACAAUCGCAAAGGACUAAAGAUGAAGCAUACUAUCUGCCUCCAGAGAAAGAACUGAUAUAGAUUGAAUACAGACUGAGAACACAGGUGGUCAUACCUUCCCUGACUUCUCAGAAAGAGAGGUGAAAACACCAAAAAAGAGGUGAUCGUGCCCAUCCUGACUUCUCAGGAAGGAUUCAAGCUGUGAAUUUCAACUGCCCUCCAGCUGCAGACUGGGAUUGAUUGGGACACAUGACACACAACCAGAUGCUCUGAUGCUGUCUUCAGAUUUCACACCUCCCCUCCUGGUUUGAACCCCCCAGUAUCUCUAUGACCCUUGUCAGCUUGAAGUAGCUAUAUGAAGUUGAGAUCUUCUUCAUUUUUCCCCAAAUGGAUUUGGGUGAUAACUGCUUGUGAGGGGAUGGAGGAGGAGGGAAAAUAUUCCCUUUAUUGAAGCUGUGUUCUCUUUAAGAUUAUCACUCUGAAAAUUUAUCUCCUUUUGAUCUGUGACCCCUUUUGGUGUCUCAGCCCCUCCUGGUGAAGGCAUUUCCCCCCAAAUAAAUUAUCUUUUGGGAAUGCCAGAGCCUUUGAUUCAAUUAGAAAUCCUGGUCAAAAAG